rnacentral:tRNA from 2 species
UGCGGCGUAGCUCAAUUGGAAUCAGAGCGUUCGUCUUGUAAAUGAGAAGAUGCGAGUUCGACUCUCGCCGCCGCAG